rnacentral:rRNA from 1 species
AUUGAACGCUGGCGGCAUGCUUUACACAUGCAAGUCGAACGGUAGCAGGCGGCGAUUUCUUGACGAGUGUCAAAGGGGGAAGUAUGGCUUACGAACGGGCACAGUCCUUAUAGAUAACGGCUAGCAACAGUAGCUAAGAGCUCAUACGGGCUAUGGAUUAAAACGGGAUACCGUAAAACUUCACGCCAGUCUUGCUGUCGAUGUCAGAUUAGUUAGUUGGUGGGGUAAAGGCUCACCAAGCCAACGAUCUGUAGCUGAUCUGAGAGGACAACCAGCCACACUGGGACUGAGACACGGCCCAGACUCCUACGGGAGGCAGCAGUAGGGAAUUUUCGACAAAGGGCGCAAGCCUGAUCCAGCAACGCCGCGUGCAGGAUGAAGGCCUUCGGAUUGUAAAAUGCUUUUGUAAGGGAAGAAACGGUUCGGGUUUAACUCCGCAGAUCAUGACGGUACCGUAAGAGAAAGCCCCGGCUAACUACGUG